rnacentral:misc_RNA from 1 species
AAGUCGUAACAAGGUAACCGUAGGUGAACCUGCGGUUGGAUCAUUAACAAAAUUGGUAGUCUUUUUUUUUUAUAAAAAAAAGCUAUUUUAACACCAAUGUGAACUUGUAUUAUUGUUUCUUUUUCUUUUUUUUUUCUUGAUUAAAUAAAUUUUUUUGGUUUGACCAAAAAGUUUUUUUUAUUUUGAGGAGGGAAAGAAAAAACCAUUUUAAACUUAAAAAGAAUUUAUAUAUUUUGACCUUUAAAUAAAAGUGUUUUAUACUUUAAAAAAAAAUAAUUUAAAAAAACAACUUUUGGCAACGGAUCUCUAGGCUCUU